ensembl:lncRNA
CCCACACCCGGCCCACAUGUGCUGGGCUGCUGAGAGCAUUGGUGUCCAGUCUCAUCCACACUCUCUUAGUCCCGCCCCCCAACUUCCCUCUCUCCCACACACCCACACACACACACACCCCCACACCCACACCCACACCCACACCCACACCCACACCCACACACACACACACACACACACACACACACACACACACACUCACCCACACAGUUUUAGGACAGGUGUGUCCUCUGUCUUCUCUAGAUCCGUCUUGACACUCUAAGGUGUGUGUGUGUGUGUGUGUGAGUGAGAGAGAAACAGAAACACAGAUGGAUCUGAUAUUCACAUCGCUCCUGUUCUAGCAGACAUGUAUCUCACCCAGAACACCAAAUGCUUAGAUGGCGCUAGUUGUUAGCUUUGUGUGUGUGUCGGUAAUGGUUAGGUUAGUUGAUGAGUGCACUCCCACCCCCUUAUGUAAUUAAACCAAAUAUCCAACACUAUGCAGUCACCUCAUGUCAUGUCACUAGGCAGCAGCGUCCCUGUCACCUCACCUCAUGUCGCUAAGCAACAGCGUCCCUGUCACCUCAUGUCGCUAGGCAGCAGCAUCCCUGUUACCUCAUGUCGCUAGGCAACAGCGUCCCUGUCACCUGAUGUCGCUAGGGAGCAGCAUCCCUGGGUUUUUCUGUUGCGGAUUAGCUGUGUGUCUUGGUCUGUGUCUGUGUGUGUGGUUGGCUGAAUCUUCUACCAUUAACCAUCUACCUUCAGCCUUCAGCAACACCUGACGUACAGGCAAGUUUAGGAGAAUAAAUUGAGGUGUGUGUGUGUAACAGAGAGCAUGAGCUGGAGAGAGGGGUGUGUGUGUGUAACAGAGCGUGAGGUGUAGAGGUGUGUAUUGUAUUGAAUGAGCUGGUUUAUAUUUAAGGAUUGUAUUUUGGGUGGGGGUUAGUUAUACGCUGUAAGUGUGUGUGUGUGUGUGUUUUGGGUGGGGGUGGGGGUUAGUUCUAUGCUGUGUGUGUGUUUUGGGUGGGGGUUAGUUCUACGCUGUAAGUGUGUGUGUUUUGGGUGGGGGUUAGUUCUACGCUGUGUGUGUGUGUGUGUGUGUGUGUGUGUGUGUGUGUGUUUGGGUGGGGUGGGGGGUUAGUUCUACGCUGUAAGUAUAUGAGCUGCAUGUUCUUGUCUUUCGUUUAACUGCCUCGGACCCCUGAGCUUGGGGUCUGGGGAACCACACAAAAGAAAAGUUUAUUUAUAUUUUUACAUCUUUUAUGAUAUUCUGUUCUGCUGAUUGUUUUUAUUUGUUUUUGUUUUUGUUUUUCCUCACUAUGCUUUCCCCAUUUAGACAGAGGGAAGAGGAAAAGACUUUUGAUGACUUGCUACGUUUUUGCUGUUUUAUUUCUCCUCUCUUUGUCCUGUUUUUUUUUUUCUUUCCCUGCUUUGGUUGCCGGGGAGGUAUCUAUGGAGGAGAAGCCCCUCCCCUCUCUGCUGCCACCUCUGUUUCCGUGGUGACGUCAGAACCAUUGAGAAGUCUGUCAGAAUAGUAUGCUGUUUCCGUGGUGACGUCAGAACCAUUGAGAAGUCUGUCAGAGCAGCAUGCUGUUUCCGUGGUGACAUCAGAACAGUGUGCUUUGCUUCCAACUCCC